GCGAUGACACUGCAGCUGAUCUUUGUUCUCUCCACUCUGAUUUCAACCACAGGAUCCAGUGAUGUGUUCAGACAGGUUGGCGAUUCUGUUAAUCUGGGCAUACAGGAAAAUGUAUCAAAGUCUGAUGACUUAGUCUGGGUUUUUAAUGGAAGUAAUAAUAUUCUAAAAUAUUAUACUGAUACUAAAAAAACCAAACCGUCUCCUGGUUAUGAAGGCAGAGUGGAGUUCAAUGAGGAAACCUACAGUCUGACACUGAAGAACUUACAGAAGACUGAUAGUGGACUGUAUGAAGCAAAAGUGUCUGGUUUUGAAAUCAAACUUGUUGCUAACUACACACUCUCUGUGUUGGAUGCAGCUUCUCCCUCUGCUGGUGCACCUGUGUGUUUGCUGAAGACUGUCCUGUAUUCCAUCAGUCUGAUC